rnacentral:rRNA from 1 species
GAUGAACGCUAGCGGGAGGCCUAACACAUGCAAGCCGAGCGGUAUUUGUUCUUCGGAACAGAGAGAGCGGCGCACGGGUGCGGAACACGUGUGCAACCUGCCUUUAUCUGGGGGAUAGCCUUUCGAAAGGAAGAUUAAUACCCCAUAAUAUAUUGAGUGGCAUCAGUUGAUAUUGAAAACUCCGGGGGAUAGAGAUGGGCACGGGCAAGAUCAGAUAGUUGGUGAGGCAACGGCUCACCAAGACAAUGACGGGUAGGGGGCGUGAGAGGGUGACGGGCCACACUGGGACUGAGACACGGCCCAGACUCCUACGGGAGGAAGCAGGGGGGAAUAUUGCACAAUGGGCGCAAGCCUGAUGCAGCAACGCCGCGUGAGGGACGACGGCCGUCGGGUUGUAAACCUCUUUUAGCAGGGAAGAAGCGAAAGUGACGGUACCUGCAGAAAAAGCACCGGCUAACUACGUG